AGGCAUGUAUGUAUGUUUCAAAAUUUUUUUUCUAAACAUCAUAAUGGAAUAGAUGAUUAAAACUCCUUUUAAUCUAAAUCAUGCAUGCAUGAAACAUAAACUACAAGGAUCUACUUCAUAUACUAAAAUUAAAUAUAUACUGAAAUUUAACAUGUGAUCGAAUAACAUGUCUGUUUCGUAAUUUUUUUCUUCAAACCUGGAUUUGGAAAAGAAGAGGCUCUCUCUUAGUCACACAAGUAUCUGACCUCUAUGGGUAUCUACUUAGGAUCAGUCUGGAAUAGCCCUCUUAAGAUUGAAUUUUUUUAAAAGAAAAUUCAGCCUACAAAUCUGAACGAAGCCUGGAUUGCGAUCAACUCUUUGAUCCUUUCUUUGAUCUUCUUCUUCUCUUCUUCUCUUACCUUUCCCUCCUUGAUUUAUACUGCUACCAGGAAGAAGAACCAGUACAAAAGGGAUGCCCAACAACCUUAGGUGUGGAAGAAAGAGAGGACAUCCAAAAGGGUAGGCCGUUUGGACACCCAAGGG
rnacentral:lncRNA from 1 species